rnacentral:rRNA from 1 species
UACGUAGGGGGCAAGCGUUGUCCGGAAUUAUUGGGCGUAAAGAGCGCGUAGGCGGUCUGAUAAGUCGGUUGUGAAAGUCGGGGGCUCAACCCUCGAAUGCCGGUGGAUACUGUCGGGACUAGAGUACGGAAGAGGCGAGUGGAAUUCCUGGUGUAGCGGUGAAAUGCGCAGAGUAUCAGGAGGAACACCAAUUGCGAAGGCAGCUCGCUGGGACGUUACUGACGCUGAGACGCGAAAGCGUGGGGAGCAAACAGG